UACGGGGGAUGCGAGCGUUGUCCGGAAUCAUUGGGCGUAAAGAGUUCGUAGGUGGUUUGUUAAGUUAGGUGUUAAAGGCGUGGGCUCAACUCACGUAUGGCACUUGAUACUGGCAGACUUGAAUGCGGUAGAGGUAAAGGGAAUUCCUGGUGUAGCGGUGAAAUGCGUAGAUAUCAGGAGGAACAUCGGUGGCGUAAGCGCUUUACUGGGCCGUAAUUGACACUGAGGAACGAAAGCCGGGGUAG
rnacentral:rRNA from 1 species